AAGAAUAGAGAAUGUGUUGUAUUAUAAUGUUUAACAUAUAAAUAACAUUUCUGUUACAGCGAGGAGCCCGUUCACCCGAUUAAGAAUUCUUUUGCAAUGUAUAUUAGGAUUAUCCGCUACAGAGGGGCUCUUAUUCUUUUGUAUCAGCCUUAUUAUUAUUAAUAUUAUUAUUUAGUUAUUUAUUUAUUUAUUUUUCCUGGAGCCCCGUUUUGAUCUCUGUAGUGGAAAAAUUUCUGUAAUUAUUGAUUAUAAUUGAAGGUUGGGACCUAAAUGUAACCAGAAAUUGUAUGCGACCCAAGUGCAGUUACAAUUUUCCCAGUUUUUUAAGCAUUGAAGGAGUGAAACUGAAAGCAUUGCUUUCAAUUGAUGCCUCCAUUGACAGAAUCACAAUGCUCCAUUCUGAACAAAACAGUAAUUUUUGCUUCAUUAUUGCUCUUGUAAAGGCCUGUGCAAACUGCAUAAAUGCCUAUGCUAAACGCAGUAGGACACCAUUAACCAUGCGAUUGUCUGAGCCAUGCCCAACUGUGCCAGUUAUAUACGGUUACCUGUUUUGGUGCUACAUAUAAGCCAAUACAAGUGUUUGUUCUGUUUUUUGUUUUUUGGAUGACAGUAUUAUUUUUGUUCAUAUAGAAUUCAUGGCACUGUCUAAUUUUGAAGUUUCAUGAUAUUUUGAUUAAUGCAUUAAUUAUAUUAAAUUAAAUUAAUUCUCCUCUUCAAAAACACAUUCUAUUCAAUUACAAGAUUAUGUUUUUGAAACAUCAGACACUAGUUUAAGUUAUAAGACUCCUAUGAAUUUCCCACCCAUUUAAAAGUUUACUUCACAGGCGAGGUCUCAGGCUCAUACUUCACUGUUCUGUCGGGAAGCUUUAUAUCAUGGAAGGCAGGCUGUGUUUCCAACUGGAGGACUUGAGAUUCAUUGGUUUCAGCGAGAAGCUAAGUCCAAACAUUUCUUUUGGGGCGUGAUUUCCGUCCUUGAAUCCUACUAAUUUUGCGACUAUAGCAGCACUCUCGUUAAUAUGCUCCAAAUUUUUUGCAUUCGUCCACAGCAUUCGGCAUAGUUGAUGCCUUCUGUGCUUCGAUUUUAGGCUGAUGCCCCAUUUUUGGAAUAGAGCCUCUCUCUCCUUUGUUGAAUAUUUCUUUAGCAUUUGUUUGCUAAGCAUCUCUCUCUCCCGGUUCAGAGCCCUGCAGUUGUUUUCAUUUCAAAUGUUAAGUUAAAUUCUGGAAUUGUGGGGCACCGAGAAUGAGAAAAGAGUACCUUGUGGACUUUGCGGAAACUUGACCGCUAGAUAAUGUAUUCUUGAGAAAUGACAAUCGUCUAAGUUCGACUUCCAUGUAAACGGCAUCUGAUGGAUCUCCUUUAAAGAGCAGUAAGAAGUAAGUUCUAUGGACUAAUGGGGUGUCACAAGAAUCCCAAAGUUCAAUUAUCUCUCUCUUUUGUCUCUCGAAUUCUGUAGACCAAUCAGAAGCAGAUUUCUGUAUAUCCUGAUCUUUUAUCGAACCAUCAUCUGUAGGUUUUUCUGGCUCUUUGGAUGUUUUUUCAUCCUCAAGAUCCUGCCAUAGAAAAUUCCUUAUAAGAACUCAUAAUAAUACUAAGUGAAUGUGUUUUUUCUAUAAACAAAUCUUCUAUCCAUGCCAACAACAUCACUGCAGUGCAUGAACUACUAAUUACUAUAGGCAUGCUCAUACUCACCAAAUUGUCCCCAAACUGCGUCUGAGACUUAGGCUUUAUCAUUUCUUUUUCUGGCUCUUUGGAUGUUUUUUCAUCCUCAAGAUCCUGCCAUAGAAAAUUCCUUAUAAGAACUCAUAAUAAUACUAAGUGAAUGUGUUUUUUCUAUAAACAAAUCUUCUAUCCAUGCCAACAACAUCACUGCAGUGCAUGAACUACUAAUUACUAUAGGCAUGCUCAUACUCACCAAAUUGUCCCCAAACUGCGUCUGAGACUUAGGCUUUAUCAUUUCAUCCGGUCCUGUCUCACAGGUUUGUUUAUUGGCUCUACAGUCUUCAACCAGUAUCUUGAUGAUUUCUUCCUUCACAUUCAUAAAGUCAGUAGUAAUAGAACUUUCCAAGUCUUUUCUGCAUAGAUCUUCGUCAUUAGUUGGCUCUAUUUUAGAAAGCUUUCCUUGAUUAUCAUCCUGUCUUUCUGGAGAUUCUUUCUCAAAUUCAUCUGGUAAUGGGCUUUCAUUUUCUUUUGAAAACUCAGAACUGGGAGAUUUUUGCAGUGACACGGGAAGUGCUGUACAGCUUUUGCUCCUCGGUACAUGUGCACUUCCCUGAUUAGAUAUUUCUUCGUCAGAUGAACAAGGGGAUUGUCCUGAAUGGUAAAUUCAACAAGACAUUUAUUACACAUGCAAGUCCUAAAUAUUUUGCUUUAAUGUUCCGCGCUUCAAAGUUUCACAAAAUGAACUAGUAUAACCUGAAUCCUGCUCUCCUACAGGUGCGGAUAGCAGUGUGCUUGCAAUCGUAUUUCUCUUGGAGAUAUCAGUUUCAAUACAUUGGACUUCCUUGCAGUUAUCUUCGUAAUUAUUAUCAGUUUCUUGAGCAAUCUUCUCCCAGCCUUUACAUGGAUCAGGACCGAAAUAUUUAUCUAUAUAUAAUCUCGGGGAGGUGUCAUCUGACAGAAAUUGCAUUUCAGAAUUCUCAAAGAACGGUUCUUCAAGCUUGUUGGAGUUGAGGCCUUCGCAUCGGUCAGAGAAAUGAGAUGUCCUGGAUGCAACAUCAGAACGAGUAGUAUCAAUUAUCUCUGAUGCUUCAGAUGCUGAAUAUUCAUCUGCCGACGAACGUUUCUCAUAGUUAUCACCCUGAGAGGAAAAAAUGAGAAUUUCAAUUAAGUGUAGAACAGUUUUCGUGUUAAACUCUAAUCUUAAGAAAAUCUUUACAAACCCAUGGUUUUGGAAUUUGAUAUUCUCCCCCAGUCUGUAUCAGAUCCUCAGUACGAGAACGAGCCAGGUCACGUUGUUGAGUUAAUUCUCUUAUCUCGUUUUCCAUCUACAAAAUUGAAAGAGGGAAAGAAAAAGACUGUUAGUCGACUAUGUUAACUGUGUAUACACUUUUACACUGCUAUAUCACACACAAAUACACCCAUUAUUUCCAUGAACAUAACCUUCAAUCUACUUUAUGCUAUAGUUUUCACAUUUCCACUCUCUGAAUCUGUUUAGUUUUUCACUAUUCUAACUGUUUCUAAAUAUAUCAGCAAGAGAUUUGAAUAAUAUGCAUCUGAGAAUAAUUGAUUUAAAGAUUACAAAAUGUGAUCCUUUUUAUUCACCUUUUCGAUAAGCAUUUCUUUCUCUUUUAGUGCUGAUGCAGAAUCACCUGAGGCAGCAAGUGAGCUUAAACUUCUCAACUCGUCCUCCAGUCUUGCUAGUUCUUUUUGUAACUGCUUGACUAACGCUUUCUCCGACAUCACAACGUUCACACGUGCAUUAGUAUUGACUUGCUUUGCACAACUGGCAAACAAGAGUGUGUUUCUUGACUUCUCGACAUGACUGUGAGCAGGGCUCAUGGUGCAAAUGAUGGCAGUCCUAGCAUUGCCUCCCAAACAGUUCUGUAGUAUGCGGGUUAGCUUCGAGUCUCUGUAUGGUAUGUGCCCAUUUCUUCCUUUGCUGCAUUAAAAUUUGAUGUUAGUAGUAUGAGGAAUACUAAUAAAAUCAGAAAUAGAAGCAUGCAAAUAAGGAAGAUAGAUGUUUUUGACAAUUCUUUGAUUUGAUUAUUGUUAUUUGGAAAGUUUGUAUCUACUUGAGGAAACAAAUGAAUCUACAAAUACUUUGCCUUUUUAGUCUCUGGGUAAGCUCUUGUAAUUCAACGGUGAAAUAUGGAGAAUUAGCACCUGCAUGCAAAUGGUAGGGAAUUAGAAAACCAAUAUCAAGUAAUAAAUUGGGGAGUUUUGGGAGAAAUUAAUGCAGGCAGAAAUGUAUAGAUGUAAGACUAUACCAUAAAUGGGUGGACUGUCUCCAAGAUCUCUCAAAAUCGGAGGUAACAUGUUGCUCAUGGAAGGAGCAUAUACCUGCCAUUGGCCAUAUGUAAGAAAUUUUAACCCAUAUGCUCACAAAAAUGCUUUUUUUUCAAAAUCUCUUCACAUAUUCACAAAUCACAAUAACUUGUAAGGAUAAAAUUGGGAAUGGGUGGUAACUCACCCCUGCCUAUUUCAUCUCCUUCAGCGGCUUCGGGUGAAGACGGAGCAAGUUUGGCAGCUUCGGACUUCUAUUCUGUAAUGGGUCCUUCUCUGCCUGCAUAACAAUAAUAAAGCAGUAGAAAAUUCAAUUAAAACACCAAAUCAUGAAAAAAGGCCGAAUCCCUAACUUGAAAUCAUAAAAAUCCAAGCCCAAACUUCUCUUACCUUCGCUCGCUUCAAAUUGCCUCAAGCGUGCUUCGACUGUGCGACAACGAGGGUGAUCACCGUAGAGGAAAAAAGGGUAACCGAAAUGCGCACAAAAUAUGGUUGGGUAGGAAGAAGAAACAGCGUCGUCCCCUUCGCUUCGUCCAGAGAAAGGGUCGGUUAUGCGUAAAAUGAAGAGGCGGGAGAGAUUACACAGUGAAGAAAAUGUUGAUGGACGAUAUUACCCCUGCAUUUUAAAAAGAAAAGAUCCAUUUUAUUUGAUUUAACGGAACAUUUUAACGGUGAAUUGACAGAAGGACGUUCUUCGCAAAAAAUGGUAAAGGUAGGGACGUUAUCCACCAAAAAACUAAAGGUAGGGACGUUAUCCACAAAAACCUCCAAAGGUAGGGACGUUUUGUGCUAAUCACCCAAAAAAAAAUUGUAUUUUUGAAUCCUAUGACUCAAAUGUGUAAAUUUGGCCGUGCUGGUAGCCCCUGCUGGGCUCGCCUUUGGGUCUGAAAUGGCGUGCGUUGGGUUGGAAUAUGCCGAGCGUAGGCCUACUGGCUUUAACAUUUUUUUUGAAGGAAAAAAUCAAUUUUUUGAAGGAAAAAAUCACUUCCAAACAGGCUCAUGGCAAAAACACGUAAAAAUUACCAAAAGGAAAGAGUUCUCUAUCCUAUUUUUAAUCACAUUAAAUUAAAUAUAUUUUUUGUUUUCAAUUAAACAACUUUUCAUAAAAUAAUAUUACAUAUAAAUCAAAAUUUUUUUCUUCCUUUUGUAACGAUCCUUUCUUCAAAAAUUACUAUUCCACCCAUUAAAAUUUGAAGUAAUGGGGGCCAAACAGGGGCAUAGGAUUAUGAGUGUUGAAUUGUUUGAGAGAUGUAUGUUUAGUUAAAGUGCAUUGUAUUGAAAUGAAAUUUUCUUUGUUUUUUGUUUAAGUGAACAAUGAUACAACCAAUUGGCAAGUUCGAUGAUACAAAAAUUAGGAGAUUCAUGAUAAAAAUUUGUUUCAAUUGAGAAAUUUGUUUUAGUAUUGGCCCCUUUACAGUUUUAAAUUGUUUAUUACAAUUUCAUUUUUCACUAUAUAUUUACACAAUAAAUAUAUUCUACACACAAAUCACUAAAUUAUAAUUUUUAUUUUUUAAUCACAUAUUUUUCAAAAAAAUAAUAUUCAAAACUCUUUAAUUCCCAAAUAAUGAUUGACCAACAAUGGCUUAAUUACUAACGCGUAUUGAGGACUAAAAAUUAGAAAUGAAAAUUUUGAUUAUUCUUUUUGCCCUUUUCAACCAACACGUCGUCAAUCUUUGUAGCCAUUAGUCGAAGACUUGAAGUCCCUCGACAAAUUAAAAGCGUCAUCAUCAUCGUCAUUCAUGACGUGGUUGGAAGUGUGGUGGAGCUUGGAACCUUCGACUCCAUUCUCCCUUAUAUAGUACUGCCCAAAAUCAAAAUUCGCAUAUAUUAUCACACGAGCAUUGCUUUGCGUUGUAGAUCUAAAUCGGUUAAAAUGGCAGAGGAAAUCACCGCAUCCGUGGCAGCAACCACAGCCACCAAUAGAAAGAAACGAUCUUUAUGGCCCACCGUCCUCCGAUGGGUUCCCACAUCAACCGAUCACAUCAUCGCCGCCGAAAAACGUCUUCUCUCCCUCGUCAAGUAAGAAUGAAAACCAUAUUCUCGUUUUUUUCCCAUUAUGUUAGUGUUGUUUGAUAAUUGUGAUUUUUGUGCUUUUAAGGACGCCUUACAAGACAGAGCAGGUUAAUAUUGGGUCGGGUCCGCCGGGUUCGAAAGUCAGGUGGUUCAGAUCGGCGAGUAAUGAGCCAAGGUUUAUUAAUACGGUUAGUUUUGAUGGUAAAGAGGGGUCUCCCACGCUUGUUAUGAUCCAUGGAUAUGGGGCUUCUCAAGGCUUCUUUUUCCGGAAUUUCGACGUCCUUGCCCAGCAUUUUAAAGUCAUUGCAAUCGAUCAACUUGGGUAAUUUCAAUAUCCUUUUUCGAUUUAUUCAUAUUGUCGUCAAUUAGGAUUGGUUUCGAUAUGGGUUAUGUUCUUGUGGUGAAAAAUUCUUGUUUACCAGGUGUUAUAGAUAUGAUUCUGAUUCUUUGUCCAAUAAUAAAUGGGAGUUAGGCUCUCUUAAAUUUUGUACGCUCAAAUGUAUGAAUAAUUUAUUAUUCAAGAAAAUGAAGAUUUCCGUUUUUUGUUUGUCUCACUUUUAUUGCUUUAAGAAACAAGAUAAUUAGAGCGGAAAAAUAAUGCAGAAAGAAUGUUUUACCAGUGUACUCAUCUUUCUGCUACCUUUAUUUUCUUGGUGCAGUUGGGGUGGUUCUAGUAGGCCUGAUUUCACAUGUAAAAGUACUGAAGGUAAGUGCAGAAAAUUGCUCCUUGGUAUUUCCAUUGGAGGAUUAAAUGUGCUGAAAUCAUCUUUAAGUUUGACAUGCCUAUAUAUGUGCUGUAACUUGUAAUAUAGAAACCGAGGCGUGGUUCAUUGAUUCCUUUGAGGAAUGGCGCAAAGCAAAAAAUCUUAGCAACUUCAUUUUACUGGGGCAUUCUUUUGGAGGAUAUGUUGCUGCUAAAUAUGCUCUGAAGGUAAAUUUUUUAAUAAGCAACAAAUUCUAAGACUCUAUAAUGAUCACAUCCAACCGAUUUAAGUUGUAUUGCUUCUACAGUAUCCUGAGCACAUCCAACACUUGAUUUUAGUUGGACCUGCUGGAUUUAGUUCAGAAACAGAGCAUAUGUCUGAGCAGCUUACUCGGUUUAGAUCAACAUGGAAAGGAGCCAUUGCAAAUCAUUUAUGGGAGUCUAAUUUUACUCCGCAAAAGAUUAUAAGGUAAGUAGUCUUUGCUUUCUUUUCUAUUGUGCAGACAUGCAUCUAUGAUCUGAUUCUUUUUUUACUUAUUUAUCACAAUCUAUUUAUGUUUACUUCCAUCAAAUUUGUUCUUUAUCAAUUUAAUGAGCCUCGUGACUGUCGUCACCAGACUCAUAAUUUCUUUGUUCUUUUCUUAACAUGGCACUAUAGGCCUGUCAAAUAACCUCCUCUUAAGUUAUGGCCAGGGCACUUUUCAUGCAUUGCUCACUGGUUUUUACUUUGCUAAAAGAAUAUUAUUUGGCUGCUGGCCACUAGUUUAUGAAGAUUUAACCUUAUCUUUUCUAUAAUGCAGAGGUUUAGGUCCUUUUGGUCCGGAUCUGGUUCGCAAGUAUACUAGUGCGAGAUUUGGUGCACGUUCACAAGGACACGUAUUAACUGAGGAGGAAUCAAGAUUACUUACAGGUAAGUGUGAUUAGCUUGUUUGGUUUCCGACACAUUGAUUUCUUUCUAACCUUUUUCAUCUCUUAAUGGUAGAUUAUGUGUAUCAUACUCUGGCGGCUAAAUCUAGUGGAGAUCUGUGCUUAAAAUAUAUAUUCUCCUUCGGAGCCUUUGCACGGAUGCCCCUUUUAAAAAGGUGAGUUGCUUCCAUUUUUCAAUAUUGGUUUCUAAACUAGUGGAGAGAGUGCCCAAGUAACUCUACCAUUAGUACCUUACUAGUAAAUGAUGGGAGCUCUGUUAUUUACCAAAUUCUGAUGUAUUUUUUUAGUUGGGAUAUUUUUUUUCAAGAACAUGUAUUGUGAUGAUGAUCUUAUACAUGUUGGCAUGAAUAAUGUAAAAUGUUUGAGACGGUUUAUCAUGCGACUUUCUUUAGAACUCUGUUCUAUACAGAAGGAAAAUGAAAAUGUUGCUUGACAGUAUUUAAAAUGCCAUCACACAUUUACUUGCUAGGACACAUAUUGCCAUACACUUGUGUGUUCGAGAUAUUCUUUCUUCCUCACACAUAUACUUAUGGAGGAAAUUAUAGUUUGGUGGCUUUCUUUUGUCUUUCUCUUCCACGUGUUGAGAUUAUUUUCUGUUGGAAGUCGACUUAAGAUACUUCAGUGACAUGAUUGUGUUAUCUUGUUUUCCAAGUGAAGAUCCACGAGAAAUAGUUAAUUACUUCAGGUUUGUAACUACCACAUACUGUGCUUGCAGUGCAUCGGAGUGGAAGGUGCCAACAACAUUCGUAUAUGGUUUCCAAGAUUGGAUGAAUUACGAAUGUGCACAAGAGGCUAGAAAGCAAAUGAAAGUCCCGUGCGAGAUAAUAAGGGUCCCUCAGGUAGCUCUCUCCCUCUCCCUGCCUGUUGUGCAAUUAGGCAACAGAAAUUUUAUGCCUUCCUUUGCUAUGAAAAAUCGAAGUACAACUGAAAUUUCCUCGUCUACUUGCAGGGUGGUCACUUUGUAUUCAUAGACAAUCCAGCUGCUUUUCAUUCGGCUGUAUUAUAUGCUUGCCGGAAUUAUAUUUCACCCGACCAGGACAGUAUCUCACUUCCAGAAGGCCUGGAAUCUGUCUGAAGAAUAGAGAAUGUGUUGUAUUAUAAUGUUUAACAUAUAAAUAACAUUUCUGUUACAGCGAGGAGCCCGUUCACCCGAUUAAGAAUUCUUUUGCAAUGUA
rnacentral:lncRNA from 1 species